rnacentral:rRNA from 1 species
GACGAACGCUGGCGGCGUGCCUAAUACAUGCAAGUCGAACGCAGUGGGGACGGGUGAGUAACACGUGGGUAACCUCCCAUCAGAGGGGAUAACACUUGGAAACAGGUGCUAAACCGAUACUGAUGGAUGGACCCGCGGUGCAUUAGCGGGUUGGUGAGGUAACGGCUCACCAAGGCCACGAUGCAUAGCCUACCUGAGAGGGUGAUCGGCAACACUGGUAGUGAGAAACGGCCCAGACUUAUACGGGAGGCAGAAGUAGGGAAUCUUCGGCUAUGGACGAAAGUCUGACCGUGCAACGCCGCGUGAGUGAUGAAGGUCUUCGGAUCGGAAAACGCUGUUAUUAGGGAAGCGGUACCUAAUCAGAAAGCCACGGCUAAGUACGUGCCAGCAGGCGCGGUAAUAC